GGGCUAGUAAAGGUUUCGACGGGGAUCGUGAAGCUGGAGAAGCGAGUCGCAAGGUGAUGCGUUAAAUCCCAAAUUAAAAUUAAACGCUGAAGAAAAUUUAGCUUACGCUGCCUAGUGGCAGCAGUCUGACCUAGAGCACCUACACUUUAGGACCCAGGCUUCGACUAUGUAGGAAACGACACUGGCAAAGCUUUGAGCCAGUGGGCGUAUCAUGAAGCUACUAAAACCUGAAUUGUGCCUAUGCAAGUCAGGCGGAGGGAAUGUUAAAACACAGGCUACGCUCGUAGAAGUACAGGGGAUUGGUUUUCGGACACGGGUUCGACUCCCGUCUAGUCCAUUC
rnacentral:tmRNA from 1 species